rnacentral:rRNA from 1 species
CGGUACGCGAGCUGGGUUCAGAACGUCGUGAGACAGUUCGGUCCCUAUCCGGCGCGGGCGUAGGAUAUUUGAGAGGAGCUGCCCCUAGUACGAGAGGACCGGGGUGGACGGACCACUGGUGUAUCAGCUGUCGACCAACGGCAUAGCUGAGUAGCCAAGUCUGGACGGGAUAAACGCUGAAGGCAUCUAAGCGUGAAGCCCCCCUCAAGAUGAGAUAUCCCAUUCCUUUAAGGAAAUAAGAUCCCUUAUAGACGAUAAGGUAGAUAGGUUCAAGGUGUAAGUGUGGUAACGCAUUCAGCUGAUGAAUACUAAUAGAUCGAAGGUUUAUUCU